rnacentral:rRNA from 1 species
UGGGGAAUAUUGGACAAUGGGCGCAAGCCUGAUCCAGCCACGCCGCGUGAGUGAUGAAGGCCCUAGGGUUGUAAAGCUCUUUUGUGCGGGAAGAUAAUGACGGUACCGCAAGAAUAAGCCCCGGCUAACUUCGUGCCAGCAGCCGCGGUAAUACGAAGGGGGCCAGCGUUGCUCGGAAUCACUGGGCGUAAAGGGUGCGUAGGCGGGUCUUUAAGUCAGGGGUGAAAUCCUGGAGCUCAACUCCAGAACUGCCUUUGAUACUGAGGAUCUUGAGUUCGGGAGAGGUAAGUGGAACUGCCAGUGUAGAGGUGAAAUUCGUAGAUAUUCGCAAGAACACCAGUGGCGAAGGCGGCUCACUGGCCCGAUACUGACGCUGAGGCACGAAAGCGUGGGGAGCAAACA